UACAGAGGGUGCAAGCGUUAAUCGGAAUUACUGGGCGUAAAGGGUGCGUAGGUGGAUAAAUAAGUUGGACGUGAAAGCCCCGGGCUUAACCUGGGAUGGUCGUCCAAUACUGUUUGUCUAGAGUAUGGUAGAGGGUAGUAGAAUUUCCGGUGUAGCGGUGAAAUGCGUAGAUAUCGGAAGGAAUAUCAAUGGCGAAGGCAGCUACCUGGGCCAAUACUGACACUGAGGCACGAAAGCAUGGGGAGCAAACAGG
rnacentral:rRNA from 1 species